rfam:Brugia malayi, FR3, WGS project CAPY01000000 data, contig: ctg1509530
CCAACGGCCCUCUUUAGGGCCACAAAUCUAUGGAUCAUGCUGUAC